GGCCGGGGACCCUCCCCCGGAAGGCCCGGGCAUCGCCCACCACGGCAGCAGUUUGGCGGGCGGCGAGGCGCUUGCAAGGGAGGCCUGAGGUGGCGGUUGGAGGCGCUCGCGGAGAUCUGCCAGGAUGUCUGGCCACAACUGGAGCCAGAAGACGCAAAAAAGGAGGGAGGAAGAGGAGGAGGAGGAGGAAGACCCCUUGGACCAGAUGAUCCAGCGUACCGGCUGUGCCUCUUUCCACUACGCCGUGAUGGAGUGCAUGGCGGAACACCAGGACUGGCGCAAGUGCCAGGAGCAAGUGCAGAGUUUUCGGUCCUGCAUGGCGGAACAUCAGAAGCAGCGAGCGGAAGAGGGGAAGAGGAGGCAGAAGCUGCACCAGGCUGCCAGCUGACCAAAGGGAGGCAGGGGAAUGAAUGGCCUGCUGGACUCCCAACACUUCAGAACCACCCAAACCCAGCAGGGCUGGCGCUGGAUGAAGCCGCUGCCGGUUCAUAAAUUCGGAAAGAGCUAAAUUUUGUAGACAAAAAGAUGUGUAUUCUUGUCAGACCCGUUUAAUACAAAAAUGGAGUGGCGUUCUU